rnacentral:lncRNA from 1 species
CACAUACUAUAACAGUUAGCCAACUAACUGCUGCGGGAAGCUGGAACAGGGAAGGAUAUUUUUUUUUUUUGCAAACCUAUUCAGUGUUUUAGGUACUUUUAUUGUAAAGGAAAGCAAGAGAAGGAAACACACAUUAACACAAUAUAAAUUAACUUUAAAAUAUCAGCAUGUAUGGUUGGUUGGGUAACAACUACCGUGUGAUCCAACACAAGACACUUAUCAAACAAGCAUCUGAUAUCGAAAGAGUUUGAAAAAAGGGAAAUUACUCCCUCUGUCCUCUAAUAGUCUGAUUAAAGGCCCCGUUAGGAAGUUAAUAUUUUAAAGGAAAAUAUUAUAUACUAGGGAUUGUGAUAUAUAGUUCCUUGAUUUCAAAUUCAACUGUCUUGGGACAUUGCAAGGAAAAGUUGGACUAUUACGAAAAAAGUAACAAAAAAAAUCACUCGGCAAACAAACAAGCAAAAAGAUUUGACUUUCAAUAUAGAGUACUAGCCAUCAGACCCAUCUCCGCAGUUGGUGCACAAAUUAUGCUUCCAAAGAGUAAUUUUCAUCAAAACCCACAAUAUUAGAGUAAAAUCAAAGUGCAUUUUCCAAGGAGUUAUGAAUUUAAAACAACAACUACUAUUGGUUACCACAGAAAAUUAUACAAUCUACAACAACCACCACUAAACAUAUUAUCACAAAAACAUCAAUCAAUCAUGCAUAACCCAGAUAAAUUCCAUGUCAAGAAAACCUAAUUAAUAUUUAGCUCAACAUUCCAUCAAAGACAGAAGCUAUGCAACAUAGAUGACAUAUUCAAUUGUAGAGUUUUGGUGUAAACCCACUUUCAAUCGAUAUUGGGUUUCAAGCGAUUCAAAAAUUAAAUCAAAAUUUAAUUUAUACUGAAUUUAUUUUGGUCAAAAGUCCAACCCAGGAAGAUAGAGAGAGAAAUUCACCAGGGAACCCAAGAGGGGUGAAGAAAUCAAGAUUUUCAACCAAAGUUGUUCAAUUUUCCGUGAGGAGGAGAGAGAAACUCAAAAGGGUAGGCCAAAAACCAGAAGUAGCGUUAGAUGGCUACGAAGAAGAUAUGCUCGAGAUCUCUGAUCCCAAUUGUCAGAUCCGCUCCAAAACAUUCCAACUCUCCAACCUCUAGACACCAUUUUCCAUCUCUAAUCCACGAUCCUCCUCCGUCUCUUCAGCAAACAUUAAGAAGAAGAAGAUGAUCUUGAUAUCUUUUUGGGUUUAUAGCAAAAGAUAAAAGUUACGUAAUUAUAAUUAAG